GAGACAACAUCUUGUUCUGCCACCCAUGCUGAAGUGCAGUGGUGUGCUCAAACUCCUGGUCUCAAGUGAUCCUCCCACCUCAGCCUCCUGAAUAGCUGGGACUACAGGUGCAACUCACCAUGCCCGACUAAUUCUUUUGUGUGUUGAGAUGGGGGUCUUGCUAUGUUGCCCAGGCUGGUCUGGAAUUCCUGGGUUCAAGUGAUCCUCCUGCCUCAGCCUCCCAAAGUGCUGGGAUUACAGGCAUGAGCCACUGUUCCCAGCCUGCUAUUUUAUUUAAUUGCAUUUAUGCAACAGAAAAGAAAUACAACAGAAUACAUACUUCUAAGUAAAUAUCUAUUUUUCAUGUUUUUAUGUUCAAGUAAUUUAUAUGUUAGGUUGGCAAAAAUUUAAAAAGCCAGACAUUUCUAACUGUUAGCAAGUGAAGAGUAUCUUAUAUACUGUUUAUAGAGUACAAAUUGGUACAAUCACUUUAUGAAAUAAUCCAGCAAUGUCUAGUGUAUUAGUUUUCUAUUGUAUAAUAAAUUACCAUAAACAUAGUAUCUUAAGACACAUUUAUUAUCUCAAAGUUUCUGUAGACCAGGAGUCUAGGCACAGUUUAUCUGUAUUCUUUGCUCAGGGUCUCACAAAACUGCUAUCAAGGUGUAAGUCAGGCUGUCUUCUCCUCUGGAGGUGACCUCUCAGCUUGUUGGCAGAAUUCAUUUCCUUGUGGUUGUAUGACUGAGGGCCCUGGCUUCUUAGUGGUUGUCAGCUGGAGGCUGCACUCAAGUUCUAGAAGCCAUCUGCAGUUCCCUGCCAUUUAGUUUUCUCCAUAGGCGGUUCACAACAUGACAGCUUGCUUCUUCAAGACCAGCGAAUCUCUAGCUCCAGUCUGGAAAGACAGUCUUAUAUAAUGAAACGGAAUCAUGGGAGUGACAUUCUAUCAACUUUGCCAUAUUCUGUUGGCUAGAAAGAACAACUGAACAAAAUAUAAAAACGUUAAUGUACUGAAGAGCUACCAAGGAAGUGAGAAUUUGUGAGUGCAAGAUCUGGAAGAAAAAGGAAGCCACCAGAGGUGAGCCUGAUAUUUGCCAUCAUUUUUCCAAAGCUAAGGUGAUUGCUGACUCUGAAAGCAGUGGCUGAAAAAGAGAGCAGAGCUUAUGGCUGUCUCAUGGGGCUUAGAAGGCCCACCAAAGAGAAGAGGCCCUAGUAAAUACCCCAGACUUUUGGAUGGGACCAUCAAGGACUAGCUAGGAAUAAGAAAGAACCGGAAAUAAAUUAGCUUUCUCAAAGACUGAA